rnacentral:lncRNA from 1 species
AUGUCAAUAAAAUAUUAUUCAUGUCAAAUUACUUUUCAAAUCUUCAAUUAAGCCACCAUCAACUUCCUCUUCUACCAACUCAACCCCAAAACUCGUUUUCAAAACUCAGCCUCAGCACAUACCAUUACAAAGUCCUAACCCGUCCUUCUUCCCCAGUGAAGCCACUUGCAGAGAGGGGCCCUGUGACCACAACUACUUUUACCCAUGUUAUUGCCUCAUUCUCCCUUCAUCUUUCUCCUCUAUCAGGUACUCCAUUAUCAAAAAUC